GUCCUUUCCCUGCGCCCGCCCACCUCGGUGGCUUGGAGGACCACGUCGACCACGUGAAUGUGAACUUAGUGGGAAGAUACGCUGAGCCGGUUCAGAGCGGCCUGGCUUAGUGAUAACAGAGGAGGUGCUGCUUGAUUUAUAUCUUGAAGGUGAAUCAGAAGUUGUCUGGCAAAAAGGAGGGAGAGGAGAAAAGAAGCUCUAAGCAGAAAGACCAGCAUCUAUCUGCAAAGACCACAAAGCCCUACCAAAAGGAUGUGACAUGGAUCGGUGACAUGGAUCAGUUUGACUACCUGCCUCACCACGUGGUGAACUGCCCUGGGACUCUGCAGACAGCUCCCCACCCCAGCAAGGAGGCAUUCACUAGAUGUGGCCACUCAACAGUGAGCUUCCCCACCUCCUGAGUCACUGGGAUUACAAAUAUGGCACCAUUUGGAACCUGAGGUUGGAAUAGCCACCUCCCCUACUCCACACACCUGUCCUGCCUGCUCUAUCCUCCCUCACCCAAAGUCCUGCUGAUGCUACCACCUCAUAGAGAACUCACCCAGAAGCAGCAAGGCCAUCAGUGCCCACAUGAUGGAUCUGCCUGGAGCAACUGGGGAAGAUGAAGACGUGCUGGUAGGGUGUUGGGGCAGAGAGAAAGAAGGUGGCCAGUGGCUAACUGAGUACCAGGAAACCCUGUUGAGUCUCCCACCCAUUCCUAGUUCCUGAAGACUGGAGAGAGCAGGAGACAGGCUGAAUAUAUGUUGGCCUCAAGGAAUCCCAAGCAUCAGGCACUGUCCUGUCUGCCAGCCUGGUAGCCAAGUCCAGCUCAGGCCAGCGCUGACUCCUGUGGGGCCUGCUGAGCUUGUGCUCUCUUCAGCACAAGAGAGCCAUGUAGAUCUCCAGGCUGCCACAGCUGACCCUGCCGUCUUCAGCCUCUCGUGGGCAGCCCAUUUCCACUCCAUCUCCUUUCUACCGGCUAACCCUGGAAGCCUCAGGUGAAGGGGACACACCUUCACCUCCACAAGGCUGACUUUGCUCAUUCCCUGAAGGCUGGUGCGAGGCCUCGCGAGAUCAGUGCUAAGCCCCCUGCCCAAAGCUGACCUUCUUCCACUGAAGAGUGAACAGAAAGGUAUGACUCACCAACCACUCUUCUAUGUCCCCACCCUCCUGGUCCCCAAAGAUAAUCGUGAUGUGCUUCCCUUUCUUCCCCACUUCCCGAAAUCUUAAACCCUCAAAAGUUAAAAAAAAUGUGUUUCCUACUCACCGCAA